GGUGCGGUGCUGAAAUUGGUAUACAGUCAGGUCUCAAAAACCUGUGGUAGCAAUACCGUGAGGGUUCGACCCCCUCCCGCACCA
rnacentral:tRNA from 1 species